rnacentral:tRNA from 1 species
CAAAAUAUAGCUUAAUUAAAGCAUUUCGCUUACACCGAAAAGAUAUCUGUGAGACACAU